CACGUAGGGGCCAAGCGUUGUCCGGAUUUAUUGGGCGUAAAGAGCUCGUAGGCGGUUCGACAAGUCGGGUGUGAAAACUCCGGGCUCCAACCCGGAGACGCCACCCGAUACUGUCGUGACUGGAGUCCGGUAGGGGAGUGGGGAAGUUCCUGGUGUAGCGAUGAAAUGCGCAGAUAUCAGGAGGAACACCGGUGGCGAAGGCGGGUCUCUGGGCCGAAAUUGACGCUGAGGAGCGAAAGCGUGGGGAGCAAACAGG
rnacentral:rRNA from 1 species